GCCGGGGUGCCCGAGCGGACCAAGGGGCUAGCCUUGAGAGCUAGUAGGGAAAACCCUGCGCGGGUUCAAAUCCCGCCCCCGGCG
rnacentral:tRNA from 1 species